rnacentral:rRNA from 1 species
UACGGAGGGAGCUAGCGUUGUUCGGAAUUACUGGGCGUAAAGCGCACGUAGGCGGCUAUUCAAGUCGGGGGGUGAAAGCCCGGGGCUCAACCCCGGAACUGCCCUCGAAACUAGAUAGCUAGAAUCUUGGAGAGGCGAGUGGAAUUCCGAGUGUAGAGGUGAAAUUCGUAGAUAUUCGGAAGAACACCAGUGGCGAAGGCG